GUCCUAGUGUGGUAAUGGAUAUCCUUUGGGCUUGCGGAGCCCAAGAUCCGGGUUCGACUCCCGGCUGGGACG
rnacentral:tRNA from 1 species